rnacentral:rRNA from 1 species
GGUCAAGUUAUUAAGGGUGCAGGGCGGAUGCCUUGGCACUAGGAGCCGAUGAAGGACGUGAUAAGCUGCGAUAAGCUUCGGGGAGUUGCACGUAAACUUUGAUCCGAAGAUUUCCGAAUGAGGAAACUCACUUAGAGUAAUGUCUAAGUAUCAUUAAGUGAAUACAUAGCUUAAUGAGGGGAACUCAGGGAACUGAAACAUCUAAGUACCUGAAGGAAGAGAAAGAAAUUCGAUUCCGUAAGUAGCGGCGAGCGAACGCGGAUUAGCCCAAACCAAUAAAGUUUUCUUUAUUGGGGUUGCGGACAUAUCAUAACGAAGAGGUAUCGUAAUUGAAGAGGUUUGGAAAGACCCACCACAGAAGGUAAUAGUCCUGUAUGUUAAACGAGAAGACUUUAGAUAUGAUCCAGAGUACCACGGGACACGUGAAACCCUGUGGGAAGCAGGAGGGACCACCCUCCAAGGCUAAAUACUACCUAGUGACCGAUAGCGUAUAGUACCGUGAGGGAAAGGUGAAAAGAACCCCGGGAGGGGAGUGAAAUAGAACCUGAAACCCUGCACUUACAAGCUGUGGAAGCACAUUUCUUGUGUGACCGCGUACUUUUUGUAGAACGGGCCAACGAGUUACGUUAAGUAGCAAGGUUAAGCACUUAAGGUGCGGAGCCGUAGCGAAAGCGAGUUUUAACUGAGCGUUCAGUUACUUGACGUAGACCCGAAACCGGGCGACCUACCCAUGAGCAGGAUGAAGCGAAAGUAAAAUUUCGUGGAGGUCCGAACCCACGAGCGUUGAAAAGCUCGGGGAUGACUUGUGGGUAGCGGUGAAAUUCCAAUCGAGCCCGGAGAUAGCUGGUUCUCCCCGAAAUAGCUUUAGGGCUAGCCUCAAGGUGAGAGAUACGGAGGUAGAGCACUGAAUGUCCUAGGGGGUAUUGCACCUACCGAAGACUAUCAAACUCCGAAUGCCGUCAUCUUAUACUUGGGAGUCAGACUGUGGGUGAUAAGAUUCAUAGUCGAAAGGGCAACAGCCCAGAUCGUCAGCUAAGGUCCCUAAAUGUAAGUUAAGUGGUAAAGGAUGUGGGAUUGCACAGACAACCAGGAUGUUGGCUUAGAAGCAGCCACUCAUUCAAAGAGUGCGUAAUAGCUCACUGGUCGAGUGAUCCUGCGCCGAAGAUUUCCGGGGCUAAAACUUACUACCGAAGCUACGGCAUCAGUAAUGAUGGGUAGGGGAGCUUCCCAUACGGGUUGAAGCAUGACCGUAAGGACAUGUGGACAGUAUGGGAGUGAGAAUGUUGGCAUGAGUAGCGAGAUGUGGGUGAGAAUCCCACAGGCCGUAAACCCAAGGUUUCCAGGGGAAGGU